rnacentral:rRNA from 1 species
ACAGAGGUCCCAAGCGUUGUUCGGAUUCACUGGGCGUAAAGGGUGCGUAGGUGGUCGGGUAAGUCGGACGUGAAAUCCCUCGGCUUAACCGGGGAACUGCGUCCGAUACUGGUUGGCUUGAGUUUGGGAGAGGGAUGCGGAAUUCCAGGUGUAGCGGUGAAAUGCGUAGAUAUCUGGAGGAACACCGGUGGCGAAGGCGGCAUCCUGGACCAAUACUGACGCUGAGGAGCGAAAGCGUGGGGAGCAAACGGGA